AUGAGUGAUAGGAUAGGAUAUGAACAUGAAUAUGAUAUGAAAAUAAUAUUGAGGAAUAAUAGACAGCGGGAAAAGGAGGAGCGUUUCUUUGUAAACCAUGUAUCGUGUUGCCUCAGGAAGGGUGAAUCUAGAAACUUUGUCAAGAUAGUCCACACCGGGAUCAUGUAUGGUGACAUGCAAUUGAUUAGUGAGACAUAUCAUGUUCUCAAGUCAAUUGGUAAGCUUGCAAACAGCUAG
rnacentral:rRNA from 1 species